GACGAACGCUGGCGGCGUGCUUAACACAUGCAAGUCGAACGAAGAGCGAUGGAAGCUUGCUUCUAUCAAUCUUAGUGGCGAACGGGUGAGUAACGCGUAAUCAACCUGCCCUUCAGAGGGGGACAACAGUUGGAAACGACUGCUAAUACCGCAUACGAUCUAACCUCGGCAUCGAGGAUAGAUGAAAGGUGGCCUCUACAUGUAAGCUAUCACUGAAGGAGGGGAUUGCGUCUGAUUAGCUAGUUGGAGGGGUAACGGCCCACCAAGGCGAUGAUCAGCAGCCGGUCUGAGAGGAUGAACGGCCACAUUGGGACUGAGACACGGCCCAGACUCCUACGGGAGGCAGCAGUGGGGAAUCUUCCGCAAUGGACGAAAGUCUGACGGAGCAACGCCGCGUGAGUGAUGACGGCCUUCGGGUUGUAAAGCUCUGUUAAUCGGGACGAAAGGCCU
rnacentral:rRNA from 1 species